GAGGAACGCUGGAGGCGUGCUUAACACAUGCAAGUCGAACGGAAAGGCCCUGCUUUUGUGGGGUGCUCGAGUGGCGAACGGGUGAGUAACACGUGAGUAACCUGCCCUUGACUUUGGGAUAACUUCAGGAAACUGGGGCUAAUACCGGAUAGGAGCUCCUGCUGCAUGGUGGGGGUUGGAAAGUUUCGGCGGUUGGGGAUGGACUCGCGGCUUAUCAGCUUGUUGGUGGGGUAGUGGCUUACCAAGGCUUUGACGGGUAGCCGGCCUGAGAGGGUGACCGGCCACAUUGGGACUGAGAUACGGCCCAGACUCCUACGGGAGGCAGCAGUGGGGAAUAUUGCACAAUGGGCGGAAGCCUGAUGCAGCAACGCCGCGUGCGGGAUGACGGCCUUCGGGUUGUAAACCGCUUUCGCCUGUGACGAAGCGUGAGUGACGGUAAUGGGUAAAGAAGCACCGGCUAACUACGUG
rnacentral:rRNA from 1 species